ACAGAUAAGAGUUGUGUUUAGUUGCAGAUUUUUUUUUCAAGUUCAAUACUAAGAUUUGAUUUCAAAGAACAAUUCACAUGAUACUUUUUUCUUUUGUCAACGAGAAAGAUAAGAUGGGAAGUGCAAAAGAAAACAAUUGGGGGAUCCGUAGAAUCUUUAGAUCAUUGGUGAGAAAGAUACAUCCUAAGGAGCCAAAAGAUCAUGAAAGCACAACCGAAAAUAGAGAAUUGGCGAUGAUUGACGGUUCAACCUGUAUUUUUUCAAAACAUUACGGGAAAAGUGAUGUCUUAAUGGGAAUUUUCAACAAAUUAGUGUUGGAUGAGCCGAGGCCUGCCCACCUCUUUAAGUUGUGGGAGAUGUUUGAUGUUCAUUUUUGUGCUUCACAAGAUGACCACAACCCCAACAUGACUGAGACUGAGGCUGAACUCGAAAUCGUAGUUAAAACCAUGACUCAACUCGAAUCUGAAGCCAAGAUCUUGCCUGAAACUAAGACUAAACGUCGCCGUUUUCAAUGGAUAUGUUGUUUCAACCCAUAAAUUUGUAUAUCGAACUAUUGGCGUUUUGGAUUAUUUUUAUAAUAAUUGUGUUACUGAAGAAACAAUGG